GCGUGAGUGAUGAAGGCCUUAGGGUUGUAAAGCUCUUUCGCCGACGAAGAUAAUGACGGUAGUCGGAGAAGAAGCCCCGGCUAACUUCGUGCCAGCAGCCGCGGUAAUACGAAGGGGGCUAGCGUUGCUCGGAAUCACUGGGCGUAAAGCGCACGUAGGCGGAUUGUUAAGUCAGGGGUGAAAGCCUGGAGCUCAACUCCAGAACUGCCUUUGAUACUGGCAAUCUCGAGUCCGGAAGAGGUAAGUGGAACUCCGAGUGUAGAGGUGAAAUUCGU
rnacentral:rRNA from 1 species